UGCUUNGACAUAGCANAGAAGUGUCCUGCACUCAAAGAUCUUUUGAUGGAGCCUAUUGAUCUUGAUAGACAUCCCGUGCUCAUUGAACCCUGGAAAUCGGUUUCUAAGACGCAUGAACGCUAUCUGGCUAAGGUAGCAAGGCAUCUCGAAAGCGAACAUGUGGAAUCAUACUGGUACCACAAAGACCAUUUGGCAUUCGGUUCAUUUGGUGCUGUAUUUGCAGGAAUCAAUGAGAAAGAUGGAAGAGAAGUGGCCAUCAAACGUAUUGAGAAGAUACGUAUGCAACGCCCAGAAGACAAACGAGAAAUAAAACAUCUCACUGCUCUUGCAGACUGCGAGCAAGUCGUCCGCUAUUUGUGCUUUUAUGAAGAUAAACACUUUUCUUAUAUUGUCUUGGAACUGAUGGAGGGAAAUGUUGAGCAGUUCCUUAAUACUGCAAUACAAAUGGAAACUAAAGUCUCGCUUUGCCAAGAUAUAGUUCAAGGACUGAAAUUCUUACACGAUCAAAACAUCCUUCAUCGAGAUCUCAAGGCAACCAACAUUCUUUAUAAAACGACUCCUAAACUAUGCUUGAAAAUUGCCGACUUUGGUCUCAGCCGUCGUAUGGAUACCAAUAGCUCAAGCACCUCAGUGUAUGGAUCUAAUGUUGGUACGAGAUGUUGGAUUGCUCCAGAAGUGCUAACCUCUAAAAAACCUCAUUCCAAGUCAUCUGAUGUGUUUGCCUGUGGUCUCCUUCUUCAUUACAUUUUGUCAGCGAAAACACAUCCAUUUGCCCCCAGAAUAGGGGCACUGCAACACGAGAUUGAAGUCAACAUACAAAAUGACAACAUGGAAGGAUGGGAUGACUCUCUGUGCCCUGAAGCAGCUGAUCUCCUUAAAGCAAUGCUUGAUGGAGAUAAAAGCAAACGGCCAUCUGCAGAUAAAGCAUUGGAUCAUCUUUUUUUCUGGGCAAAGAAGAAAAAGCUAGAUCUGCUCGUAGCUGUUGGCAAUCAACCAGAAUUUGAAUCCCCACGUGCUAAGAGGCCUCCUCCUUUAACUUUAGUAGAGACUGACUUGGAGACAAGCUUUGGUACCAUAGUCAAGUAUGGAGAUUGGAAUGACCCAGGUUAUGUACACAUGCCUGCCAUUUACACUAAAAUGACAACAAGAAGAACAUACCAAACGAACCCUGUAGUAGAGUUGGUACGUUUCAUACGAAAUGCUAACGCACAUGUGACUGCAUUACCAAAGCCAAUUCGAGAUCAGUUGCUGAAAGACUUUGUGUUCUUUGAAUAUUUUCCAAAUCUUGUGAUGGAAGUCUACAAGGCUGUAACCACUAAUGGAUGGGAUCAGACGAGAGAAGAGAUUAAGCAAGUAUUAAGGGGAUGAUUUGGAGUUAACACAAGGAUCACAGAAUGAACUACCACAAGAACCGCACUAAAAAAGUGAUAAAAAUAUUUAGACAAUAAACUAUAUAACACUGACUAUAAUCAAAGACUAGAUCAAAGUCAGCUGAUACAAGAGACCAGUAUACAGAUAGUAUAUUGUUAAUAAUGUUAAGACAAGUGUACCAUUAGACAAUCAACACUGACUAGAAUCAAACGAAGUCUGUACAAGACUAUAGAUCAAGGUCAGUUGAUACAAGAGACCAGUAUACAGAUAGAAUAGUGUUAAUAAUGUUAAGACUAGGGUACAUUAGGCAGUCAACACUGACUAGAAUCAAAACCAGGUGCGAGACUAGAUCAAGGUCAGCUGAUACAAGAGACCAGUAUACAGAUAGAAUAGUGUUAAUAAUGUUAAGUCAAGGGUACAUUAGACAAUCAACACUGACUAGAAUCAAAACCAGGUGCAAGACUAUAUCAAGAUCAGCUGAUACAAGAGACCAGUAUACAGAUAGAAUAGUGUUGAUAAUGUUAAGACAAGGGUACAUUAGACAAUCAACACUGACUAGAAUCAAAGCCUGUACAAGACUAGAUCAAGGUCAGUUGAUACAAGAGAC
rnacentral:misc_RNA from 1 species